rnacentral:misc_RNA from 1 species
UUUACUCCACUAUUCGAUUUUGUUCCAGUGCAACGCCGCCGUUGGCGUGAAGGCAUUCUUCGAUAUGAUGCACAGCGGGCCGCACAAAGUGAUGCUAUUCGGCGCAGCUUGCACGCACGUCACCGAUCCCAUCGCCAAAGCGUCCAAGCAUUGGCGUCUCACGCAGCUUAGCUACGCGGACACACACCCGAUGUUUACAAAAGAUAGCUUCCCAAAUUUCUUCAGGGUGGUGCCUUCUGAGAACGCGUUCAACGCUCCCCGCGUGGCGCUUUUAUUGCACUUCAAUUGGACUCGCGUCGGAACCAUUUAUCAAAACGAGCCCCGAUACGCUCUGGCACAUAAUCGAUUGGUCGCCGAUCUCGAUAGCAAUAGCAUGGAAGUGGUAGAGACGCAAAGCUUCGCCACCGAGGUGACCACAGCGCUGGAAAAAUUAAAGGAGAAGGACGUUAGAAUAAUUUUGGGCAACUUUAACGAAACAUGGGCCAGGCGGAUAUUCUGCGAGGCGCACAAAUUCGAUAUGUUCGGGAGAAAAUAUCAAUGGGUGAUAAUGGGUACUUACACAGAAAAAUGGUGGCUCCAUCCUGACGAGGAAUGCAAUUCCGCUGAUUUGGUGGAGGCAUUGCACGGUGCUAUAUUGACAGACUUGUUGCCAAUCACAACGGAGAAGAGGAAGACUAUAGCUGGAAUAACGACCGAACAAUACCGGGUCGAGUAUGACUCGAGACGAGGCAAAGAGUAUUCGAGAUUUCACGGAUAUUCGUACGACGGUAUAUGGGCAGUGGCUCUAGCUAUACAACGCGUCGCAAGCAGGAUAACACACUACCGUCGCAAUCAGACCAUGUCAGAUUUCAGAUACAGAGACGAGCUUUGGGAGAAGCUUUUUCUUGAAGCUCUGAGAAACACAAGCUUCGAAGGUGUCACGGGACCGGUGCGUUUCUAUGAUAAUGAAAGGAAAGCGUAUAUUCUUUUGAAACAGUUUCAAGGCAACAGAGAGGUAAAAGUCGGUGAAUACGACGGCGUGACAGAUAUUUUAGAUUUGAACAAGGGCGAGCCUUUAAUCUGGAAAGGAAAAUCACCGCCCAAAGAUCGAACUCUUCACAUCAUCGAACAUUCGACCGUAAAUAUUACGAUCUAUGCUGUGCUCACUUCCACGGCCAGUGUGGGCAUCACCAUGGCGGCUAUUUUUCUCGUCAUCAAUAUCAAAUACAGAAAUCAAAGAUACAUAAAAAUGUCAUCGCCGCAUUUAAACAACCUCAUUAUCGUCGGAUGCAUGCUGACCUACAGCAGUGUAAUUUUCCUUGGGUUAGAUUCGCAGCUGUCCAGUGAAACGGCAUUUCCCUACAUUUGCACCGCCAGAGCAUGGCUAUUGAUGGCUGGUUUCUCAUUGGCUUUUGGUUCCAUGUUCUCGAAAACAUGGCGAGUACACUCGAUAUUUACCGACGUUAAAUUGAACAAGAAGGUGAUAAAAGAUUAUCAAUUGUUCAUGGUGGUCGGUGUAUUAUUGUUUAUUGAUUUGGGUAUUAUGACGACCUGGCAGGUUGCGGAUCCAUUUUACCGGGAAACGAAACAAAUGGAACCUUAUCCUCAUCCUUCCAGCGAAGACAUCAUCAUAAUACCGGAAAACGAGUACUGUCAAAGUAAUCGAAUGACCAUUUAUUUAGGGUGUAUAUACGCUUAUAAAGGUCUUUUAAUGAUAUUCGGCGCCUUUUUGGCAUGGGAAACAAGGCAUGUUAGCAUUCCGGCGUUAAACGAUAGCAAAUACGUCGGAAUGAGCGUAUACAACGUUGUGAUCAUGUGUGUUACUGGAGCGGCUAUAAGCUUCGUGUUGGCUGACAAACAAGAUGCCAUGUUUAUUAUGUUGGCGAUAUUUAUAAUAUUCUGCAGCACCGCCACCUUGUGCUUGGUUUUUGUACCAAAGCUAAUAGAAUUGCGAAGAAAUCCCCAAGGUACGAUAGACAAACGAAUUCGAGCAACGCUUAGGCCAGUGUCGAAAACGCGAAGGGACUCGAGCGUUAGCGAAUUGGAGGAACGUCUGAAGGAAGCGACGUUAGCGAAUCAAAAAUUUCGUAAACAAUUGUUAGAAAAAGAUUCAGAGCUUCAGAUGUUCCUACGGAGGCUUGAUGAUCAAACCACAUCGAAUACACAGGAAGCAAUGGAUAGGUUAACAGUUCCGAGGCAGGAAGCAACAGUGGUGAAAAAAGAAGGUUUGUCUCUUGCGACAGAGACAACGGACAUUUCCAUAUCAAUGUGCAGUCUGAAUUCAACUACCAUCUCUCAACCAGAAGGCGUCGAUUAUGCGAGCACAAUCGCGACCGAACAGCCGAUUAGCAAAAAAAAGACAUCGUUCUCGAAAUUACCGGCGAUCGCAAUCGACAGCGAACGAACACCUCUAGUCCCACAAACUCAAGAAACCACGAAAGGAACCGUGGAUUUUUCGUCCUCGCCUUUGCCUUCGGUUUUAAAACACACAACAGACGAUUCCGGCCAUAGAAGAAGUCGUUCCUCCAUACUUGGAAAAGAGAGUGAACCUCUUCUUGCCGAGAGAAGUCCGGACUCGCGAUCGGAUACCGGUAAAACGAACGUUGAAUUCGUGCCGGAGAUCGUCGAGGAGGGUGACGCCAUUAUCCUCGAAGAGACCGAAAUUCCCAGGCAUGGAAAGUUGAUCAGAAGCAAAGACGAUCGUAGAUCCAGGCUCCCGACACCUCCGCCGACAAAGAACGUCUCAUUCGGUGAACUUCACGAACAAAACUACCUCGAACAAGCGAUUCUACCGCCUCCCUCGCAAUUCGUUCCCAAGCAUCGACAUUCCGUUUCGGCGACAAACGCAUCCGCUCAUCAAUCAUUAAAGAGAAGAUCGUCGGUGAAGAGCAACGGAAUGGCUCAUUCCCAUCACGAGUUGUUUCAAACUCGGAGAACCAGUGUACCAGUCAAUUGCAUCAGUUAUAUUUCGACUGAGAACGUCUCCAAAUCAGAGGCCACCGAGUUCUCUCUCAACUCUGGUUUUGAUAAGUCUUAUAUAAUUGGUGAAUGUGGUCAUCGACGAGCAUUAUUCUCAGGUACUGGAUAUCGUUGUGAGAAACAUGGAGGACGAGGACAUCGCGCUAUAUUGAAUGGUUCGGCGGAAACGCCGCCUCCUCCACGGAGACAUAAAAAACAUUACGAUUCUCAAAAUGCGAGUUCUCCGAGUGUGCCUGCGAUGGUUAAUGCCAGUUAUUCAGAUACCGAGAAAUACGAGGAAUCCAUGUCGACGAUUAUUCAACGAUCGGUGUCUGAAAGAUCGCGGGAAAAAUGUCCUCGGCUUCGAAGUGAGGGACACGCGAUGAUCGAAUGUCCUCAUCGUGCCACACGUCGGAUACGAGAGUGUAGACAUACCGAGUCUAAACUCCGACAACAGGCUCGUUUGGAAUACGUGCAAAGCACACCAAAUGUUGCCACUAUACACAAUAAUAAAUUCGCAAGCGCGAAUCCACGUGGUGGUGGUGGCGGCACUGGGCCAAGUAGCGGCGGUGUGGCAGGAAGUGCGAAUGGCCCAGGAACAGCCAGCUCAGUGACCGGCAGUAGUUCAGACGUUGUUGGUGGUUCCGCGGCAAAUGUUUCUAAAAUGUAUAGCGCCGUAUCAGACGGCGAAUUACUCGAUUUAGCGAUAUUGCCGAUCUUUCAAAAGUUACUCACCGAGAGGCACAAAAGUUCCUCGAGGGCCGGCUACGGCGCCAGCGUAGCCAGCUGUCCAAAUAUAUCUAUCAAAUGUGACAUCGUUGAAUACCUUUAACGAUCUUCCAACGAUUAAUUUAAAUUUUCAUCUGGCGAUCUCGUUCUAUUUCUUUAUUUCUUUGAACAUUCCUCUCCCAUCUUCCCUUACAUUUCUUUCUCUCUUUUUCUCUCUCUUUCUCUCUCCCUCUUUACGGCCUUCAAAUGCGACAUCUAUCGUAAAACGUGUUCGCCAAAUGUGUAUCGGCCGAGACAAUGAUAUUUUACAGAGAGAGCAAUCGCCGUUCCUUUCUCGAGCCUGCCUAUCUUUGCGAUACUCUCGCGAAAGAACGUUGAAAGAAGCAGCAACGCUGCCCUUUCGAUAUAUGUAAAUAUUAGCAAGUGUCCGCUGGACUUAUGGACGGAGAAGGAGACGUUAUCAACGAGAUUAAACGAGAGGAUGCCGGCCUCUGUUCGACGCUCGAGAAUCUUUUAGCUCCUCGGUUAAAUAAUCAAAUUGACAAAGAUAGCCGCUCGCGGCAUUCUAUGAAAACGUUCUGCAGAAUUCUACAGCGUCUGCACUUUAACACACUUUUCUCUUCCAAAUCUUUUGUGAUUUUCGUUUCCCCAUCUCGAUUCUCGUCUCGAUGAUGAAAGGUCAUAUAAACGUUAACAAACACACGACGCCUUCGCGUUCGUGAGAAAAUGAUUGAAAAAUUGCCGUGACUCAUCAUUCUGGAACGUGGAAUCUCGGUUUUUAUAACAAAUUAUUAGAAAAACAAGUUUGUCAUACAUGUUUGUCAUAACAAAAAGAAAAAAAAAAAAACGUUGCAUCGAUCGGAUAAAAAAAAGAUAGCCAGUAUUGAAACGAACGUAGGAAAGAAUGUUAGCGUAUGCGUCUAAUCUAACUCUAAUCAUUGUAAGCGUGCGUAAUCGUUUUAAAUAAUUUUAUAGCGUGCGAAAUUCGUACAAUCGCUGUUUAGCAAUUCAAAAGAUAGAUAUACGAGUCAAAAGAUUCGAACAUUUUAUAGAAUUUUCUCUCGCAUUCGAGGGGGACAACUUUUUUUUACGUUAUAUCAAGUCUCUUCUUAAGAAAGAAACAAAGAAAAAGAAUUUAAAAAAAGACAAAAAAAAAAUAACAAAAAGGAAUAAAAGAAAAUAAAAUGAAAAAAACGUUGACACAUGUUCAUUUCUAUCGCAAGUAACGUGUUUACGUCAUAUUUAAUAAACUUCUUACUAUUGUACCGAAAUUAAUUCUAAAUUGAUUGUUAUCGAUUUUCAAAACAGCUCAAGACACAUUAACGAAAACAAUUAAGUAAAAUGAAGCAUACGGUAAGCGAUUCUCACAAUAAGCGGCUUUUAAAAUAAUUUUCUUCUUUAUGUAUUCGCUUUUUCACGAUAAACAGUCGGCGUCUUUUUAAUUAUAUAAUAAAAUAUAUCUCGAUGAGGAACCGAACAGGCGAGUUUUAGAUGCGAUUCGCAUGCCUAGUAAAGAGAAUCGAUGAAAUAUAAUAUUUUCUUUUCG